AGAACGAACGCUGGCGGCAUGCCUAAUACAUGCAAGUCGAACGAACACUUCGGUGUUAGUGGCGCACGGGUGCGUAACGCGUGGGAAUCUGCCCUUGGGUUCGGAAUAACAGUUGGAAACGACUGCUAAUACCGGAUGAUAUCGAAAGAUCAAAGAUUUAUCGCCCAGGGAUGAGCCCGCGUAGGAUUAGCUAGUUGGUGAGGUAAAGGCUCACCAAGGCGACGAUCCUUAGCUGGUCUGAGAGGAUGAUCAGCCACACUGGGACUGAGACACGGCCCAGACCUCCGUACGGGAGGCAGCAGGUAGGAAUAUUGGACAAGU
rnacentral:rRNA from 1 species